GCCUCGGUAAUUUAAAGGCUUAGGACGUUUGUACGAAAUUCAAGAAAUCCGGGUUCGACUCCCGGCCGAGAUA
rnacentral:tRNA from 1 species